rnacentral:rRNA from 1 species
AUUGAACGCUGGCGGCAUGCUUUACACAUGCAAGUCGAGCGGAUGAGUGGAGCUUGCUCCACGAUUCAGCGGCGGACGGGUGAGUAAUGCCUAGGAAUCUGCCUGGUAGUGGGGGACAACGUUUCGAAAGGAACGCUAAUACCGCAUACGUCCUACGGGAGAAAGCAGGGGACCUUCGGGCCUUGCGCUAUCAGAUGAGCCUAGGUCGGAUUAGCUAGUUGGUGGGGUAAAGGCCUACCAAGGCGACGAUCCGUAACUGGUCUGAGAGGAUGAUCAGUCACACUGGAACUGAGACACGGUCCAGACUCCUACGGGAGGCAGCAGUGGGGAAUAUUGGACAAUGGGCGAAAGCCUGAUCCAGCCAUGCCGCGUGUGUGAAGAAGGUCUUCGGAUUGUAAAGCACUUUAAGUUGGGAGGAAGGGCAGUAAGUUAAUACCUUGCUGUUUUGACGUUACCAACAGAAUAAGCACCGGCUAACUUCGUGCCAGCAGCCGCGGUAACAC